rnacentral:rRNA from 1 species
AUUGAACGCUGGCGGCAGGCCUAACACAUGCAAGUCGAGCGGAUGAAGGGAGCUUGCUCCUGGAUUCAGCGGCGAACGGGUGAGUAAUGCCUAGGAAUCUGCCUGGUAGUGGGGGAUAACGUCCGGAAACGGGCGCUAAUACCGCAUACGUCCUGAGGGAGAAAGUGGGGGAUCUUCGGACCUCACGCUAUCAGAUGAGCCUAGGUCGGAUUAGCUAGUUGGUGGGGUAAAGGCCUACCAAGGCGACGAUCCGUAACUGGUCUGAGAGGAUGAUCAGUCACACUGGAACUGAGACACGGUCCAGACUCCUACGGGAGGCAGCAGUGGGGAAUAUUGGACAAUGGGCGAAAGCCUGAUCCAGCCAUGCCGCGUGUGUGAAGAAGGUCUUCGGAUUGUAAAGCACUUUAAGUUGGGAGGAGGGGCAGUAAGUUAAUACCUUGCUGUUUUGACGUUACCAACAGAAUAAGCACCGGCUAACUUCGUG